AUCCAGACUCCUACGGGAGGCAGCAGUGAGGAAUAUUGGUCAAUGGGCGGGAGCCUGAACCAGCCAAGCCGCGUGAAGGAAGAAGGCGCCAAGCGUCGUAAACUUCUUUUGUCGGGGAACAAAGGGCGCCACGUGUGGCGUUGUGAGUGUACCCGAAGAAAAAGCAUCGGCUAACUACGUGCCAGCAGCCGCGGUAAUACGUAGGGUGCGAGCGUUAAUCGGAAUUACUGGGCGUAAAGGGUGUGCAGGCGGUUUUGCAAGAUGGAUGUGAAAGCCCCGGGCUUAACCUGGGAAAGCCAUACAUGACUGCAAGACUAGAGUGCGUCAGAGGGGGGUGGAAUUCCAAGUGUAGCAGUGAAAUGCGUAGAUAUUUGGAAGAACACCGAUGGCGAAGGCAGCCCCCUGGGACGCAACUGACGCUCAUACACGAAAGCGUGGGGAGCAAACAGGAUUAGAUACCCGUGUAU
rnacentral:rRNA from 1 species